AGUAGGAGGAGAAAGUGGAGUAGAGGGAGGAGUAGGAAGAGGAGGGAGGAGUAAGAGCAGGAAGAAGGAGUAGGAGGAGGAGAAGGUGGAGUAGAGGAAGGAGUAGGAGGAGAAAGUGGAGUAGAGGGAGGAGUAGGAGGAGAAAGUGGAGUAGAGGGAGGAGUAGGAAGAGGAGGGAGGAGUAAGAGCAGGAAGAAGGAGUAGGAGGAGGAGAAGGUGGAGUAGAGGAAGGAGUAGGAGGAGAAAGUGGAGUAGAGGGAGGAGUAGGAGGAGAAAGUGGAGUAGAGGGAGGAGUAGGAAGAGGAGGGAGGAGUAAGAGCAGGAAGAAGGAGUAGGAGGAGGAGAAGGUGGAGUAGAGGAAGGAGUAGGAGGAGGAAGUGGAGUAGAGGAAGGAGUAGGAGGAGAAAGUGGAGUAGAGGGAGGAGUAGGAAGAGGAGGGAGGAGUAAGAGCAGGAAGAAGGAGUAGGAGGAGGAGAAGGUGGAGUAGAGGGAGGAGUAGGAGGAGAAAGUGGAGUAGAGGGAGGAGUAGGAGGAGAAAGUGGAGUAGAGGGAGGAGUAGGAGGAGAAAGUGGAGUAGAGGGAGGAGUAGGAAGAGGAGGGAGGAGUAAGAGCAGGAAGAAGAAGUAGGAGGAGGAGAAGGUGGAGUAGAGGAAGGAGUAGGAGGAGAAAGUGGAGUAGAGGGAGGAGUAGGAAGAGGAGGGAGGAGUAAGAGCAGGAAGAAGGAGUAGGAGGAGGAGAAGGUGGAGUAGAGGAGGGAGUAGGAGGAGAAAGUGGAGUAGAGGGAGGAGUAGGAAGAGGAGGGAGGAGUAAGAGCAGGAAGAAGGAGUAGGAGGAGGAGAAGGUGGAGUAGAGGAAGGAGUAGGAGGAGAAAGUGGAGUAGAGGGAGGAGUAGGAAGAGGAGGGAGGAGUAAGAGCAGGAAGAAGGAGUAGGAGGAGGAGAAGGUGGAGUAGAGGGAGGGGCAGUAGGGGAAAGUGGGGGACUUGUAGAUGAAGGGAAGGGAUCGGUGGGAGGAAUGGAUGGAUUGGUUAGAGGAAUAAGCGGGGGUGGGCAGGUAAGGGAGCAAACAGGUGAUGUAGCAAUGGAGGAUACAUCAGGAAUCAAGACUAGGUAGAAAUGCAAUGGAGGCUGCAAAUAGCCCAUGUACAACAACUAUUAACUGGCCCUAUGCUUUCCCUAGAGAAAAAUAAUAAAAGGCUAACAUGCUCAUCUUGUCUCCACAAGCCUCGAACGUUUCACUCCCAUGGGUGGCCCAUGAUGGCUUGCCCACCACUUCUCCACACGGGGCCUUGUGCCCGCGGAGACAGACGCUAUCCCUGACUCUCGUUCUUAAUUUAAUAAUUUAUAUCUAACAUCUCAAAAUGUAA